GCAUAUCAAUAAGCGGAGGAAAAGAAACCAACAGGGAUUGCCCUAGUAACGGCGAGUGAAGCGGCAUCAGCUCAAAUUUGAAAUCUGGCUCUUUCAGAGUCCGAGUUGUAAUUUGCAGAGGGCGCUUUGGCGUUGGCAGCGGUCCAAGUUCCUUGGAACAGGACGUCACAGAGGGUGAGAAUCCCGUACGUGGUCGCUGGCCUUCGCCGUGUAAAGCCCCUUCGACGAGUCGAGUUGUUUGGGAAUGCAGCUCUAAAUGGGAGGUAAAUUUCUUCUAAAGCUAAAUACUGGCCAGAGACCGAUAGCGCACAAGUAGAGUGAUCGAAAGAUGAAAAGCACUUUGGAAAGAGAGUCAAAUAGCACGUGAAAUUGUUGAAAGGGAAGCGCUUGCAGCCAGACUUGCCUGUAGUUGCUCAUCCGGGCUUUUGCCCGGUGCACUCUUCUGCGGGCAGGCCAGCAUCAGUUUGGGCGGUUGGAUAAAGGCCUCUGUCAUGUACCUCCUUUCGGGGAGGCCUUAUAGGGGAGGCGACAUGCAACCAGCCUGGACUGAGGUCCGCGCAUUUGCUAGGAUGCUGGCGUAAUGGCUGUAAGCGGCCCGUCUUGAAACACGGACCAAGGAGUCUAACAUCUAUGCGAGUGUUUGGGUGUCAAGCCCGAACGCGUAAUGAAAGUGAACGGAGGUGGGAUCCCUUAAGGGUGCACCAUCGACCGAUCCUGAUGUCUUCGGAUGGAUUUGAGUAAGAGCAUGGCUGUUGGGACCCGAAAGAUGGUGAACUAUGCUUGAAUAGGGUGAAGCCAGAGGAAACUCUGGUGGAGGCUCGCAGCGGUUCUGACGUGCAAAUCGAUCGUCAAAUUUGGGCAUAGGGGCGAAAGACUAAUCGAACUAUCUAGUAGCUGGUUCCUGCGA
rnacentral:rRNA from 1 species